rnacentral:tRNA from 1 species
AAAAGAUUAGUUAAAUUAAUAUUAGUAUGUCAUACUAAAGUUAUAGGUUGCAUCCCUAUAUCUUUUA